UACGUAGGGUGCAAGCGUUAAUCGGAAUUACUGGGCGUAAAGCGUGCGCAGGCGGUUUUGUAAGUCUGAUGUGAAAUCCCCGGGCUCAACCUGGGAAUUGCAUUGGAGACUGCAAGGCUAGAAUCUGGCAGAGGGGGGUAGAAUUCCACGUGUAGCAGUGAAAUGCGUAGAUAUCAGGAGGAAUACCGAUGGCGAAGGCAGGUCUCUGGGCUGAUACUGACGCUCAUGCACGAAAGCGUGGGGAGCAAACAGG
rnacentral:rRNA from 1 species